rnacentral:rRNA from 1 species
CCAGCAGCCGCGGUAAUACGUAGGGGCGCAAGCGUUGUCCGGAAUUAUUGGGCGUAAAGAGCUCGUAGGCGGCUUGUCACGUCGGGUGUGAAAGCCCGGGGCUUAACCCCGGGUCUGCAUUCGAUACGGGCUAGCUAGAGUGUGGUAGGGGAGAUCGGAAUUCCUGGUGUAGCGGUGAAAUGCGCAGAUAUCAGGAGGAACACCGGUGGCGAAGGCGGAUCUCUGGGCCAUUACUGACGCUGAGGAGCGAAAGCGUGGGGAGCGAACAGGAUUAGAUACCCUGGUAGUCCACGCCGUAAACGGUGGGAACUAGGUGUUGGCGACAUUCCACGUCGUCGGUGCCGCAGCUAACGCAUUAAGUUCCCCGCCUGGGGAGUACGGCCGCAAGGCUAAAACUCAAAGGAAUUGACGGGGGCCCGCACAAGCAGCGGAGCAU